GACGGAGGAUGCAAGCGUUAUCCGGAAUGAUUGGGCGUAAAGCGUCCGCAGGUGGCAGUUCAAGUCUGCUGUCAAAGACCGGGGCUUAACUUCGGAAAGGCAGUGGAAACUGAACAGCUAGAGUAUGGUAGGGGCAGAGGGAAUUCCUGGUGUAGCGGUGAAAUGCGUAGAUAUCAGGAGGAACACCGGUGGCGAAGGCGGAUCUCUGGGCCUUACCUGACGCUCAGGUGCGAAAGCUAGGGGAGCGAACAGG
rnacentral:rRNA from 1 species